AGCAGUAGGGAAUCUUCGGCAAUGGACGAAAGUACUGACCGAGCAACGCCGCGUGAGUGAAGAAGGUUUUCGGAUCGUAAAACUCUGUUGGUAGAGAAGAACGUUGGUGAGAGUGGAAAGCUCAUCAAGUGACGGUAACUACCCAGAAAGGGACGGCUAACUACGUGCCGG
rnacentral:rRNA from 1 species